rnacentral:tRNA from 1 species
GCUGGGGUAGCUUAAUUUAGAGCGAUGAAUUUUUGAUUCAAGAGGUGUCGUAGGAUUCUCAGUU